AAAGAAAACAGCAUGGAUUAUUUGAAAUGCAGAAGGAGGAGGAAGCCCCAAAGAGCAGUUGCGAUCUGGAUUCUGGGAGAAAUCAGUUUGGUGGGGACAGAAUUUGGUGGGGGAUCCAGACAGUCACGCUGCCUUGGAAGAGCUCAACUAUUGACCUUCCUCUCUUUGACCACGUGACUCUUCCAGGCAUAAAAGCCUCAUGUUUGUGGAAGAGAAAAAAAGGUGGUCCACUUAGAAAAGGUUCCCUUUGCUCCUGAGACCUGACGAAUUUGAAAAGCCAUCUGACUGGAAAAGGCAAGACACCCUACUUUGCUGUGCUCAGGGAAGAAGCCAUUGGGAUCACAAGCCUAGGGAAGGAGUGAGUAUAGAUAAACUCAUGAAGCGGGGCAGAGUAUGGACUUUACUCUCCAAGGAGGUGAAGCAAGAGGUCACAGAGAUGGGAAAGGGGCCAGGACAAGCCAAUGGCGAGCUCAUGCUGGUGAGGGCCUGGUGUAGGCAAGAGGGGCAGAAAACAAUGGUGAGCUCAGCCCCACUUAGAUGGGAAUCUCCCUGUUCACCUGGUCUUCUAUCUGAGAUUCUCCAAUCUGGGAAUGAGAUUUAUAGGUGGGCGACACUAGCAGUAACAGAUUGAGGAUGGAAGUUUUAUUUUACAUGUCUACAUUUUAAUGAUAAAUAAGAGGAGAUUAAAAGUUACUCUCGAUCAACAUAAAUCUCACAUACAUGAGCUUUCUUCAGGCAGCGAGAAAGGGAGCAUUAGCGGGCAGCAGACUGGGGAUUGUGGUGCUUUGGGAGAAAUCAUGGUUAUCUGUAGUAUGGAGGAAAACAAGCUGCUGCUGGGAGGACCUAAGUCAUAUUCCCAGAGUCACACAACCGAGCUGAGGCAUGGCCGGGGCUGGGAUCCUGGUGACCUGGCCCAGCUCAGGCUUCUUCCUUUACCACCAGCCCCUUCCCCCACAAACCUACAAGUUUUCUUGGAAUGGCUCAGUGUGGAAUCAGGAAGCUGGGCAUCUGGGACUCACCUUGGGCUCAAUCUGCCCAUCCCUCAGGCCUAACCAAAUUCCCAUUUUCAGGGGUGAAGUUGAGAGUCUUGUGUUCAAACCCAAUGAGUUGCGGGGACAAAAGAAAGAGAAAAGGCAAACAGGAAAGAAGGGAGGGAGGAAGGGAGGGAGGGAGGAAGGAAGUAGGGAGCCACAAGCAGGCUGAGUAAAAUUUGGAGAAACUCAGACACAGUAUCAGGCUUAGUCCCUCUUGGUGAUAAAGCAGCUGUUCCUUCCCCUCUGUUCAUAUAGCCAUUCAUUUAUCAACAGAUAGUGUUGAACACCUACUAUGCAUGAGACACAGUUCUAGGUCCUAGGGACACAGUUGGAAAUAAGACAGAGGAUGUCACUGCCCUCACAAAGCCCUUUCUAGUGGGGACUUAGAGACCUCAAAACUUUUCCUGUGGGAGCGUCUAAGACAUCAAGAUGCUUGGGAAGCCCUUCCUCCCUCCCUCCCUCCCUCCCUCCCUUCCCUCUUCCCUUCCCUUCCUUCUUUUUCUUCCAGAAAUAAUUUGGUUGGGAAGCAAGGAGGCCUUCUUUCUCCAUGACACACAGGAAGCAGAAGAGUCCUCAGUUUGGGGGCGCAGCCAUAACCACUCAGUAAGGCAGGAACGGGAGAUGCAACGAAACAGAGAAUGGAUCCACCUUGGCUUGGGGCUGGGAAACCCAUGGUCAGAGAGGAUUCUGACUUCAUCUUUCGUCUCUUCAGGAAGGAUGGCGCUAGAGCCCCGAAGCAGAGGUCUUCUCUCUUUCUACAUAAUAUAUUUCCUCACUGGUCUCCCUGCCAACCUCGUGGCCCUGUGGGCCUUCGUGGGACGGGUCCGCCAGCCCCAGCCUGCCCCUGUCCACAUCCUCCUGCUCAGCCUGACGCUGGCGGACCUCCUGCUGCUGCUGCUGCUGCCCUUCAAGAUGAUUGAGGCUGCGUACGACUUCCGCUGGCCCUUGGGGGACGCCCUCUGUGUCCUCACUGCUUACGGCUUCUACAGCAGCAUCUACUGCAGCACGUGGCUCCUGGCGGGCAUCGGCAUCGAGCGCUACCGCAGUGUGGCUUUCCCCGUGCAGUACCAGCAGUCCCGUCGACCCGUGUAUGGAGUGAUCGCCUCCCUGGUCUCCUUCCUCUUGUCCUUCGGACACUGCAGCAUUGUGAUCAUCGUCCACUACUUACCAACCAACAACACGGGGGGUGAUGCCAAAGACCUCCCUGCCUGCUAUGAGAACUUCACCCCAGAGCAACUGGAUGUGUUGCUUCCUGUGCGGCUAGAGCUGUGUCUCGUCCUCUUCUUCAUCCCCAUGGCGGUCACCAUCUUCUGCUACUGGCGCUUUGUGCGUAUCAUGCUCUCCAGACCCCAAGUGGGAAGGCAGAAGCGCUGGAGAGCCAUGGGGCUGGCCGCUGUGACCCUCUUCAACUUCCUGGUCUGCUUUGGGCCUUAUAACGUGUCUCAUGUGGUGGGGUUCUUCCAGAAAAAGAGUGAACUCUGGCGGGCAUGCGCGGUGCUGCUCAGUGCUUUCAAUGCUUGUGUCGACCCCUUGAUUUUCUACUUCUCCUCCUCAGCUGUGCGCAAAGCCUUUGAUAAAAGGCUACGCAGUCUGCAGAGCUGGGGUGCCUCACUGUCAGGGUACUGCAGGAAAAGAGCUGGCGAGCCGGCUGCAGAGCGAAAAGAGGGGAGUUUAGGUAUGGCCAAUAUCAACUUCACAGGAGACUAAAUUUGUCAACUUGCUGUUGCAUUUUGGGGGAGGAGGGUGGGCUCAAAAAGGGGAACAAUGAAAGAGAACUGGGGUGACUUCUCCUGUGCCUAGCCUACAAGGCAAAGAAGAGCAGGGGACAUCUCAAGUCCAACUCAUCCAUUGGGCCAAGCAGCGGUGAGAGGUAGCAAAUUUUAAAAAAUCAUCAUUUGUUUCACCUGAAAGUCCGCCUAAUUAUUACGCACGACAAGAAGUUUUUACUAGAACAAUGUAAAACCAAGCCUGUGACCUGAGCAGCACCUCCCAGUCACCAGGAACUGGCGAUAAACAAAAGAGAGAUGAAAUGCAUGAUCUGGUUGUCACCGCGCCCUCAGCUGCCUCAUCCAAGAGACUUCUAGGAGUAUCCAAGGAGCCUAGGGCUGUCCUGGGCCCACAGAGCUCAGAGAGAGGUCCCUGGAAAGAAGAGCGGAGGUGGCAGAGAACUUGGGGAAAUGAGACAUAGGAGAGCAACAGCGGAGCCUGAUUCCUCAAACAGCCAUGGACUUUGUGAGGCCAUGUGGCCUCAGAUACUUUUCUGGGCAGGCUGGUGCCCCUGGACCUGAAAGCCAGGAGUCCCCCAUUUCUACAAAAUGUGCUCUGCUGGCCAGGGAAUGCCAAAUGAUGCAAAACCGGAGAUGAAUCUGCUUUGGCUGGACCAUGCCAGGAAGGGAACAGGAACUUGACAAACUUGACACUGUCCAGGGUGGGGGUGGAGAGGAAGAGAGUGAAGAAAGACCAGAAAGAAGGCUAAAAAACAGCUAAUGACCUGAAAGAAGCCUCCAAGAGAGAAAGUAUGGGCUGCACAGAUUCUGGAUGGAAAGAGAGGCCUGGGAGAAUAGUCAGAACUUGGAUUUGGAGAGAGAUCGAUUAGACUUCUGGGGGCAGAGACGUGGGGAGAAGCAAAGAGGGCCCGACUGCCUCAGCAGGGCUCAGCGAGGGCUCUUCCCCUCUGACACGUGACUCCUUGGAUGGGAGAGCUCUGUGGCCUUAGGAGAGAAUAGCCAUAAAGCUGUUUGCAGGCCCGCAUCCUCUCCCCAAAACCUUCUCGGGGAGCACCGUGGGAGCCACCCCACCACUAUUUACGUCUGGGGAGGAGGGUGCUGGAGCACACACCACAGAACCACUAGGACUGUUCGAGGGCUAAGUGGAGGGUGCCACUCUCGGAAACAAUGUGACAGGUGUCAUGGACGAAGAGCAGGUGGGGUCUGAAGGUGAGCACGGGCAGAUGCUUACUCAUAAUACCCGUGCCCAGCCAGAGAGGAGCCCCAGGUGGGUUGGUCCAUUCCCAGCCAGGCCAGGAAUGUCUCGGCUCAUCUGGUCCUCUAACUCAACAGUUCUCAAAAGACGUGUUGAGACACACUGGUGUGUGGCAACCAGAGGCAAGAAAUGCAGGUCAGUGGUUCAUGGUAAGACUGAAAGGACCAGACUUCGUAAAGUUAAGUAAACAAAGAAACGAGCGGAUACAAGGGAAGCCAUCGUAAUAUCACUGUCAGUUCCGAGAGGUCCAUCAUCCUUGCUGGAGUGAGCAGGAGAGGGGAACACGCCGGUGCAGACUGGAAAUCGCUCUGGACACGGGGACAGAUCCUGACACAGAACUGCUUCCUCCGGGGGCUUUGAGAACGUGCCUUUCCCACCUCACUUUCUGGGGUUCGAGCAGGGCAGGCUGAGCCCUCAGUGCCAGGCGCAGGCAUGUGUGGCCGGCCGAACCACCCUAAGCCUGCAGGGCUGGCCUAGACAUCCCGGCUGGGACCUCUGGACAAGAGACGCUAACCGCACAGGCUGUAACCCUACCGUGCGCAGAAUCACCUCACUGAGGAAAGAGUCUUCAAACUCCUCUCUUCCCUCAAGCCACGUUCACCCUUUUCAGAAGAGUACGAGGGGCCUCUGGGGGAGUGAGACAGAAUGGGGCUCAGCUCGAAGACGGUGACGGCUGUCGCCUCCACAUCUUCAUGUGGCAGGAGGGCACUUCUGAAACUUCAAACUCCUGUGAAACACGUCUUGCCCAGCAAGGGUAGAGGAGGAAAGUGUGAGGUGUCGAGGAGAGGAAUCAGGGCAAGUGAAGAGUCAGCCCUUCCUGGGACACAGGAUGGGGAAUCUUUACCCCAUCAAGGAACUCCACAAACGAUUCUGUUAGGGAGUGCGAAAGGAGGCACCAACGGACAUUCCAAAAAAGCAAAUGGCAGACUAAUAAACAAAAAGCAGAUGGGGCACCUGGGUGGCAGUCGUUAAGCGUCUGCCUUUGGCUCAGGUCAUGAUCCCAGGGUCCUGGGAUCGAGCCCUGCAUCGGGCUCCCUGCUCAGCAGGAAGC